rnacentral:rRNA from 1 species
AACGAACGCUGGCGGCAUGCCUAACACAUGCAAGUCGAACGAGACCUACGGGUCUAGUGGCGCACGGGUGCGUAACGCGUGGGAACCUGCCCUUAGGUUCGGAAUAACUCCCCGAAAGGGGUGCUAAUACCGGAUAAUGUCUUCGGACCAAAGAUUUAUCGCCUUUGGAUGGGCCCGCGUUGGAUUAGCUAGUUGGUAGGGUAAAAGCCUACCAAGGCGACGAUCCAUAGCUGGUCUGAGAGGAUGAUCAGCCACGCUGGGACUGAGACACGGCCCAGACUCCUACGGGAAGCAGCAGUGGGGAAUAUUGGACAAUGGGCGAAAGCCUGAUCCAGCAAUGCCGCGUGAGUGAUGAAGGCCUUAGGGUUGUAAAGCUCUUUUACCCGGGAUGAUAAUGACAGUACCGGGAGAAUAGGCGCCGGCUAACUCCGUG